rnacentral:rRNA from 1 species
AUUGAACGCUGGCGGCAUGCCUUACACAUGCAAGUCGAACGGCAGCACGGGUGCUUGCACCUGGUGGCGAGUGGCGAACGGGUGAGUAAUACAUCGGAACAUGUCCUGUAGUGGGGGAUAGCCCGGCGAAAGCCGGAUUAAUACCGCAUACGAUCCACGGAUGAAAGCGGGGGACCUUCGGGCCUCGCGCUAUAGGGUUGGCCGAUGGCUGAUUAGCUAGUUGGUGGGGUAAAGGCCUACCAAGGCGACGAUCAGUAGCUGGUCUGAGAGGACGACCAGCCACACUGGGACUGAGACACGGCCCAGACUCCUACGGGAGGCAGCAGUGGGGAAUUUUGGACAAAGGGCGAAAGCCUGAUCCAGCAGUGCCGCGUGUGUGAAGAAGGCCUUCGGGUUGUAAAGCACUUUUGUCCGGAAAGAAAUCCUUGGCUCUAAUACAGUCGGGGGAUGACGGUACCGGAAGAAUAAGCACCGGCUAACUACGUG